GAAUAGAGAUAUCUAUUCUCAUUGAACACUAAAAGAAAAGUUAAGCGCUAAAGCAAAAUUUCAGUCGUUCCCUUUCCAAAAAUUGAGCGCUAAAAACAAAAUCUUCCCUCUCUGAUCCCUAACCCUUUCGCAUGACUAUUCUUCUUCUUCAGAAUAAUCAUUCUUAACCAAAAUCUCACGAGUUUUCUCCUUCAAGCUAAACAAAUAGAACAAUCCCUCACAAACUCUAACCCUUUCUUUCAUCAAGCAAAUCAAUCAGAACCCAAUGCAUUCUCCUUAUCGCACACAUGAUUCUCUCUAGUUUGUACGAUUUGUCCUUACCGAUUGUAUAUCCUAUGUAAGCUUCUUCGCACUGGUCACUCGAGAACGAAGGUUAACAAAGAACACGACGGUCACUCGUGAACGGGGGUUAUCGAAGCUCACACUGGUAACUCACUCUUGGCUCCUCUGUUGUCAGAUUCCCUCCCGCCGCGCAUACUCUCUCACCUCCGUUCAUCUUUCUCUCCGGCUCCUGUCUUGCCGCCAUUAGACAUUCAUAUUUCCAUACUCUCUCAUUGCCGUUCAUCUUUGUUUCGUGCUCCUAUCUCGCCAUCAUUAGACAUUCAUAUUGUAAGUUUAAUCUAUGUUAUUUCUUCAUAUAUGAGUAGAUGCAUUUUGAAGUCCUCUCUAAAUUGUCUAAUUUAUUCAUAUUUGUUAUGUUUUGCCUUGUAAGUGAGUCACAUUAGAUUGAAUAAAUUGAUAUGAAAUGAGUUCCUUGGAACUAAGUCCUUUCUCUUGACAAAAAAUUGUAAUUGUUAUUACUGAUGUAUAGUGUGAGGAUUACUUUAUGAUAGCAGUAUGUUUUCCAUGAAUGAAUUAGCUGGGAGAAACACAAAAGUUUUUGUUGUGCAUGUAGUCUUAAAUAGUAUAUAGGCACAAAGUUUAGACCACUAAUUUCACAGGAUAUGUUAUUAUGAUUGAAUGUGUUUUAAUCUAACAGUUCUGAAAAUGUGUGCUAUAAUCAAACAUGAUAUAUAGUUUUCUAUAUCGGACAGGUAUAUGGUGUCAGAUAUGUGUUAGACACCGAUACUUUGAGUCUUUGACUAUUUUGGAGUAUCGGGGUUUUCUAGAGUUCAAGAGAUUUGGUAGAUUGUUGAUUAUAUCCUUAAGCUAACAUUUCUCUAAAGCCUAAAUAUACAAAUCAAAUUGAUUUUGUGUGGAAUCCAUUUAUUUUGUGUGAAAUGAAAAACACCAACAUAUAGCUAGUAGGUAGUCUGUUAUAUGAAAAUUGUGAAUUUGGUAAUCAAGUCAGGGAGCUUUCUGGGAAUUAUUUUAGAAGUGAAAUAGAUGAGCUUUUGUUUUGGUUCUAACUUUUAAUAUAUGGAUUCUUGGUGAAUGCUGACGAAUACAUAUUUGUGCCUUUUAUGUUUUUAGGGAUUAUGACAUAAAUGAAACUUUGUUCAAUAUUUUCAGUAGCUGGCACAAUAUUGAGCUAAUUAUAUCCAUAUCUAUGAUAGACUCUAUACACUUUAUCUAAUUUAAUAAUCUAUUUUUCAAUUCAACAACUGUCUACAAUUAUUUCCUGUCAUGUGUUACAUUUUCUAUUUUUUAAAGCCGCAUAAUACUCUCUAACUAUGUACAAAAACAAAUUUCUCCAUGGAAUACAAGACAAGUUAUAUUUAGCAUUACCUUCUGCUAAGGUUCCUAUUCUGUUGUUGUGAAUGAUGCACAUAUUUUUUAGCUCUUGCUUUAGGUGAGAUGGUAAGUUGAUCUCAAAUGCUCUGCAACUAUAUACUUUUCUACUGAUAUGAUGUAGUAACUGAACUUUACUAUUUUAACACUGCAUUGUAAUUUUAGAGCCUUCGGAUAAUAACCUUAUUUAAAUUAUAUUACUUUUAUUUUGCAGGUUAUGAAUGAUAAUAUCAGUGAAGAUUUUCAAUCACUCGGACAUGAAGAGAUGUAGAUGUAGAUGUAUAUGUUUAAGUUUACUUUUACGGAUUAAAGAUAUUAUUUUUAUUAUGAAUGAUGAAUGAUUUUAUGAUAUGUAAUUCGAAGAUGUUUAAAUGUAGAGAUUUUUAUAAUGAUAUGAAUAAUUUCUAAUUUAAUUUAAAAA